CAAUUAGAUGUGAUCUGCCUUCUCCCCUACACAUAAUCAAAAGAGUAGCUGCUACUUAAAUGUGGAGGAAACUCAUAUAUGGAAUCAAAACAGUCACUGAAGAAAAAAAAAUUCCUCUUCUAAAACUCAAGGAAGGUGAUGACUUGGAGACUGUCUAGCAAUUGCUGUGCAUUAAUGGGGUGACAGUCAGAGGAAGACGCCUGGGGCAGAAGAGCUUCAGUGUAAGGAAAUCAGCCUUUACUGCUCUGCCCAAUCAUGUCAGCACCACUGCUCUUUCAAGGGGCUUCCCGCCAUUGUUGCUCCCUGCUCCGGAACACCCCAUGCUGCCAAAGCCACUGCAGGGGGUCACCUUUAACAGACAACCUCAUUUUCAAAUUUCCAGACCACUAAAUCAAAUGAACCAGU